CCCUAGUAACGGCGAGUGAAGCGGCAACAGCUCAAAUUUGAAAUCUGGCUCUUUUAGAGUCCGAGUUGUAAUUUGCAGAGGGCGCUUUGGCUUUGGCAGCGGUCCAAGUUCCUUGGAACAGGACGUCACAGAGGGUGAGAAUCCCGUACGUGGUCGCUGGCUAUUGCCGUGUAAAGCCCCUUCGACGAGUCGAGUUGUUUGGGAAUGCAGCUCUAAAUGGGAGGUACAUUUCUUCUAAAGCUAAAUAUUGGCCAGAGACCGAUAGCGCACAAGUAGAGUGAUCGAAAGAUGAAAAGCACUUUGGAAAGAGAGUCAAACAGCACGUGAAAUUGUUAAAAGGGAAGCGCUUGCAGCCAGACUUGCUUACAGUUGCUCAUCCGGGCUUUUGCCCGGUGCACUCUUCUGUAGGCAGGCCAGCAUCAGUUUGGGCGGUAGGAUAAAGGUCUCUGUCACGUACCUCCUUUCGGGGAGGCCUUAUAGGGGAGACGACAUACUACCAGCCUGGACUGAGGUCCGCGCAUCUGCUAGGAUGCUGGCGUAAUGGCUGUAAGCGGCCCGUCUUGAAACACGGACCAAGGAGUCUAACAUCUAUGCGAGUGUUUGGGUGUCAAGCCCGAGCGCGUAAUGAAAGUGAACGGAGGUGGGAACCCGCAAGGGUGCACCAUCGACCGAUCCUGAUGUCUUCGGAAGGAUUUGAGUAAGAGCAUGGCUGUUGGGACCCGAAAGAUGGUGAACUAUGCUUGAAUAGGGUGAAGCCAGAGGAAACUCUGGUGGAGGCUCGCAGCGGUUCUGACGUGCAAAUCGAUCGU
rnacentral:rRNA from 1 species